AGUGAACGCUGGCGGUAGGCCUAACACAUGCAAGUCGAACGGCAGCACAGUAAGAGCUUGCUCUUACGGGUGGCGAGUGGCGGACGGGUGAGGAAUACAUCGGAAUCUACUUUUUCGUGGGGGAUAACGUAGGGAAACUUACGCUAAUACCGCAUACGACCUACGGGUGAAAGCAGGGGAUCUUCGGACCUUGCGCGAUUGAAUGAGCCGAUGUCGGAUUAGCUAGUUGGCGGGGUAAAGGCCCACCAAGGCGACGAUCCGUAGCUGGUCUGAGAGGAUGAUCAGCCACACUGGAAGUGAGACACGGUCCAGACUCCUACGGGAGGCAGCAGUGGGGAAUAUUGGACAAUGGGCGCAAGCAUGAUCCAGCCAGACCGCGUGGGUGAAGAAGGCCUUCGGGUUGUAAAGCCCUUUUGUUGGGAAAGAAAAGCAGCAGGUUAAUACCCCGCUGUUCUGACGGUACCCAAAGAAUAAGCACCGGCUAACUUCGUG
rnacentral:rRNA from 1 species